UACAGAGGUCUCAAGCGUUGUUCGGAUUCAUUGGGCGUAAAGGGUGCGUAGGCUGCGGGGUAAGUCUGAUGUGAAAUCCCGGGGCUCAACCCCGGAACUGCAUUGGAUACUGCCUUGCUAGAGCACUGGAGAGGAGACUGGAAUUUACGGUGUAGCAGUGAAAUGCGUAGAUAUCGCAAGGAACACCAGUGGCGAAGGCGGCUUGCUAGCUUGUAACUGACGCUGAGGCGCGAAAGCUAGGGGAGCGAACGGG
rnacentral:rRNA from 1 species